AACGAUGUAGUUUAUAAAAGAAUCUUGAGUUUGCGUCUCAAAGGUGGAUGUUUAUCCUCUCGUUA
rnacentral:tRNA from 1 species